GACUUUAUGCUGAGUUAGGAGUGUACUCAAGAUUAACUCAGUUGUCACCAAAAUCAGACAUGUGACCUGGAUACCUCACAACUCUGUAUCCUGCAUCUUUUGCACAGUCAGUGUUUAGGCAUUUUUCAGGUCAUCAGAUAAAACCAAGGUUUAAAAAUAAUGGCAAUAGAAAAAAAAAAAAUAAAAGCAGUGCACAGCAUGCAGAACACCUUGGUGGUUUUUAUUUGGAGCUUAAUAUGCAGAUAUUCGUUCAACUAAUUAAAUUUAAAUAUACUUUAAAAAAUUUAUUGGUUAUUUUGUUUAAUUACAUUUUGAAUGUUAUUCCCCUUCUCCGUUUCCCCUAGGAAUCCCCAGCCCUGCCCCUCUCCCCUCUGCCUUCACAAGGGUGCACCCCCACCUACCCACCCAUGCCCACCCCACUGCCCUCCAGUCUCCUACUCUGGGGAAUCAAGCCUUCACAGGACCAAGGGCUCCCCUUCCAAUUGAUGCCUGACAAGGCCAUCUUCUGCUACUUAUGCAGCAAGAGCCAGGGGGCCCUCCCUGUGUUCUCUUUGGUUGGUGGUGUAGUCCCAGGGAGCUCUGGGAGGGAAGGGGAGGUCUAGUUGGUUGAUAUUGUUGUUCUUCCUAUGGGGUUACAAACCCUUUCAGCUCCUUCAAUCCUUCCCCUAACUCCUCCAUUGGGGUCCAAGUGCUCAGUCUGAUGGUUAGCUGCAAGCAUCCACAUUGGCAAGACUCUAGCUAAACCUCUGAGGAGACAUCCAUACCAGGCUUCAUAAACUUUGGCGUGAUUACUUUUAUACCAAGCUUUCAUGAAGUACAAACAGGUGAAUUACUGUGAGUUCAAAGUCACCUUAGUAGAUAGUGAAUUCUAAACCAGCACUGUAUAGUUAGAGCCUUUCUAAAAGAAAAAAAUAAAGGAAGGAAC
rnacentral:lncRNA from 1 species